AUGAUGGCCGGCGCUCAAGAGCAAGGCCUGAAGCUGCUGGUGCCGCGGAGCGGCGUGAGCAUAUACGCCAUCCGCGUCCAGAUGGCGCUUGCCAUGAAGGGUCUGGCUUACGACUACCUUCCCGAGGACCCCGGGUGCAAGAGCGACCUCCUCCUCGCAUCCAACCCCGUGCACAAGACGCUGCCCGUCCUCAUCCACGCCGGCAGGCCCGUCUGCGAGUCGCUGAUCAUCAUGGAGUACCUUGACGGCGCAUUUCCCGGCGACGGCGCCUCCAUACUCCCCGCCGACCCGUACCGCCGCGCCGUCGCUCGCUUCUGGGCCGCCUAUAUCGACGACAAGAUGUUCCCUUCGUGCAUCGGCAUUCUCAAUACGGCGAAGCAGCAGGAGAGAGCCGACAAGGUGGAGGAGACCUUGGCGGCGUUCGGGCUCCUAGAGACCGCCCUGGUGGAGUCCUCCAAAGAAGGGGAGGCGGAGGCGCUGUUCUUCGGCGGUGUAUCCCUCGGGCUGCUCGACCUCGCGCUCGGGUGCUAUCUUCCCUGGUUCGAAGCGAUAGGCCGCCUCGCUGGCACGCCGCCAUUCCUAGACGCGGCGAGGACACCAAAGUUGGCCGCGUGGGCAGGGCGUUUCAGCGCCGCCGAGCCGGUCAUUGCGCUGCUGACUGCGGUGGACAAGGUGGAGGAGUACAUCACUAAGGUGCUUUAUCCAAAGUGGGAAGUUGCACUAACUGCACCGCCAACUAAUUAG
rnacentral:rRNA from 1 species